rnacentral:lncRNA from 1 species
UAUUUUAUAACCAAAGUAGCUUCGUUUGCUUCAAUAUUUAACAUCAAAGAAAUAUUAGGAGACACCAUUUUAUAUUUAACUACAAUGGUUUCAUUCAUUGUUUUGCUCUACAAUCAUAAGAUUAGCCAAAAAUUUUAAUCUUCACACAUUAAAGGGCGAAAAUUCUAUCAACUUCUGAGUUGGAGAAGUCCGAGUGCUGCCAUGAGGUGGAUCCACUCCUUCGUGCAUGCUUGUCCUUCUUCCUCAUUGGUCGAAUCCUUUUGGAUUUCACCACAUAGUAAGUCAUAGUGCCAAGAACACCAGCCAUUAUAACUCCCCCUACAACUGUAACCAAAAUAGCAGCCCACUCAUGUUUCCGGCCAACCACUAUAUAAGAUGAGGCUAUAAAUGCAACUGACGUGCACACAGAAGCCAACCACAUUAAUUUGUUGAUCACCUCCACUACGCGUCUCUCUGCUUUUGUCUCACCUCUAACAAGUGUUAUUUGAACCACCACAACAGCCAAUGAAGUAAAGAGAGCAAUAGCAUUAAAGAUGAAGAAAAUUUUGAAAGAAGCAUGGCUCACCACCACUGCCAUCCCACUAUUUUGGGAUAUAACCAAACAUACUUCGUAUAAUGAUCAACAAAUAGCAAAUAAUACUGAAACCCAUCAAUGGAAGAAACAGGGGCUGGUCCCCAAACAUCCGAAUAAAUUAGUUGAAGAGCCUCAGUGCUGUGCAUUGUAGACUCAGCAAAAGGUUGUUUGUGCAUUUUAUUGCACUUACAAGAGUCACAAAAAUACUUAUUAUCAAUAGCAAAAGGCAAUUUAAUGGAUGAACUAAGCAACCGUAAAAUUGGAGUGGCAGGGUGUCCAAGCCUCUUGUGCCAAACGGAGUGUGUAAGAGCCGUAGUGUUCGAAACUUCCGGUCGACACAUGGAGGAUGCAUUUGAGGGCCACAUAUACACACCAUCACUUGGCUUUCCUUCCACCAGAAUUUUCCCCGUGCAUAAAUCCUUCACAUUAAAUAAAGAUGGGUUAAAAGCAAUCUCAACAUUAUUUUGGACACAGAAUUGAUAAACAGAGAUUAAAUUUUUAUGAAGUCCAAGAACACACAGCACAUUUGUCAAAAGUAAAGGUCGAGAAGAGGUUUUGAGAGAUUCAACUACUGGAUAUAAAAUGUAUAGCUUUAUGACAUCAAUUGCAGUUUACCAUCAAAUAGAGAUGAACAAAGAAGACGAAGAAAAAAUAAUAUUUAUAACAGACAAGGGAACCUAUUGUUAUAGAGUCAUGCCUUUUGAACUAAAAAAUGCAUAUGUUCAAAGAUUUAAUAAGAGAACCAGUGGCAGUUUACGUUGAUGACAUGAUUGUAAAAAAUAAAAAAGCCGAGCAACAAACACGCGACUUGGAAAAAGCACUCAAGAAUAUGCUUACCGCUGCGCUAUCUGGCUAUUUUGGUAAAGGUGCGGCUUCAAAGCUCUGAGCCAAAUUAAACUCUGCGUUAUCUGGUAAUGGCGCGGGUUGAAAUUGCUGAUGGUCAUUGCUGUUAAGGAGAAAACUCACCUCGGGCCUAUCGGCUUCUAAGUGCUGGUGGUAAACCACAGAUGAAUGGCUUGCAUUACUGUCACGGAGCGAACCGAGAAAACGACUAUUUGAACGAAUCUGGGGUGAGAGCAACAAAAGCACAACGAUAGCGCAAAGACAGCAGAGACGACUUCUUUCCGUCAGCAUUUUAGAUAACAAAUGUAUAUUGCCCUGUUCAUACAAGUUUCACAUAAUUAUUGUUAGCAAGACAGAUUAGGCAUAAAAUCAGGAGACAAUUAGGCAGAAAAUAUAUUCCAUUAAUUGUAAUAAUUGUAUAGGUUCUUAACAUGUAUAGACUAGAUAAUAUCCUAUAAUUGUAUAGAUUCUUAAUAUGUAAAUAAUUAAAUGAAUGAUAAAGAUAAUAAAUAAUCAGAGCACUAUAUUUAUUAUGUAUCAAAUUAUAGAAUUUAUCUAAAUAAGCUUAUUUAUUAUGUUAUUAAUUAAAACUGAUCUAGGUUCUAUCGAAAUUUCGGCAGCACCAUCCCUAAAAAUUAGACUAUCUACCUGCUCAAAUAUCACAAUAUUAUAUAUAUUUAUCAAUCAAUGCACACAGCUCAUCCGUCGGGCAAUCAACAAUUUAAGUCCCAUCCUCCUUUCAGUACAAGCAUGUCAACGUUUACCAAAUAAAUUUACAAAUUAUAAUAACCUCCAACAUGUUCCAAUGAUAUUGUUAAUUGUCCUCUAACUAAUUAUCAAAUAAAUGUACACUUUAUAAAUAAAACUUGCAUCGAUAAGUUAAAUUCAACUAUUCUCGUUUGAUAGUUACUUAGCCUCUAUUCAUUAUAAACUCCCUGUCGAGCCUUUACUUCAUCAUCCUUGCUUAAGGUAUAAACCACAUAUAUUUAUACAUUUGUUAAAAUUCUAAACUAGCCGCUAAGAAUCAAUGCUAACCUAAAUAAAAAUUCAAUAUUUAUAUCUGCUAAGUAACUUGAUUCACUCUUAAACAUAGGCUUUAUAAAUUUCCUUUGUCUUGCCAUAGAAAUAUAAUUUCUACUUAUGGCAAGGUCUACAAUCAAACCAUUCAUCAAUAUAUUAACUUAUAUACAAUGGCUCUAGCUUCACCUUCGCUGCUGCUUAUAAGAACAACAACAGGUCAUACUUUACCCAAUUUUACAUAUUAUAUUAGCAACUCAUAUCAUCCAAUUAACAAUAUCAUAUAUAAAACAAAAUACACUAAUAAUCCUUAAUUAACAAAUACAUAUUACUUAAUAAUAUUAACCCUUAUUAGUAUUAACUUCAUAGAAAAUUCAUCCAUAUAACUUAUUUUGAAUACUAACCAAAUUUAAUUACUUUGCUAACUAGCUAAUUAAACCUUUCUAAGAUCGUAUAGUUCUUGUUUAUAGACUUCCUUGAUUUUUCAGCCUGAAGCCUAAUUUCUAAAUAUACGUCAAUCCACAGAUCAUUAUCAAUUGAUGUCAGAUAGUAAAACUAAUUAUAUAUUCAUACUCUACACCGUUUACCCGCGCUUGGUUGAAUUUCUUCACUUUGACAUUCAGAGCACUGGGCAGAAAUCACAUUGCAACAAAUGCAAUGUUCUGCCUCUUGGGAACCCCGGUCACCGGAGCCACCGCUGUCGCCACCGUCUACGGUGGCCGGUGGUACCAUGGUUCCUGAAUCUUGCAACUCUUACGCCAAAACAUAGCAAAUUUCAUAUAGAACUCAGUUCUAUAGCCAACUACUACAAAUUAUGUCAAUAUCGAACGAAAUCCCAAUUUUUAUUCUCAAAUCCCUAAGUCACAUUUUGAUCAAUUCCUUCAAUAAAUCGCCUAAUCUAUACAAAAUAAUUUCUAAAGGAGAGAAGUGGGAGGACAAUCAGCUUACCUCGUCGGAGUCGCUCGGAGGGAAGGACGGAGACGCGACUAUCUCGAUCGGGCUGAAGUCCCAGCUUCGCUGUGACUUUUGCGCUCACCAGAAACGAAAACGAAGAGAAGGGAAAGGAAGGCCGGGCUGCUAUGGCGAGGAGUCGACGGCGAGGAGGCGCGGCGCGGGUCUCUGGUCGUCNNNNNNNNNNNNNNNNNNNNNNNNNNNNNNNNNNNNNNNNNNNNNNNNNNNNNNNNNNNNNNNNNNNNNNNNNNNNNNNNNNNNNNNNNNNNNNNNNNNNNNNNNNNNNNNNNNNNNNNNNNNNNNNNNNNNNNNNNNNNNNNNNNNNNNNNNNNNNNNNNNNNNNNNNNNNNNNNNNNNNNNNNNNNAAAUCGAAUUGGUUUACGGGUCCAGUUUAGCAAUAAUAAAAUACUAGCUGGUAUAAUCUCAUUGGUUGAAAUAAAAAAUUUAGUUUUUAAAUGAAAAUUCUACGAAAUUAAAUUUUCGGGUCGUUUCUUAUAUUCACUAAGAAUUUACAGUAAUAAAUAUGUACACUUGGUUUGUUUUGGGUUAAUAUCCAGUUUAGAUUUUCAUUUGCUUGAAUUUAAUUUUAAAAUUUUAAAUUAAACUCGCAUUGGUAAAACUUAAUUUAUAUGUUAUGCAUCUGUAGAGUUUUUAACAGACAACUUAAAAGUUUUCUUUUACAAGCAUUAAUAAUUAUGAAUAAGCCUCCCAUGCUAACUCUCGCCUACAAAUAAAUUUCAGACAUAAAUUUUGUUUAUAAAUAAAAAAACUUAGAUCCAAUUGUCGUAAAUUAAAUUUAUAUAAGGUAAAUAAAUAUCCUUAUUAAUAUCGAAUAUUAAACAUACAAUUAUUAAAUAUUUUAUAAUCUUUUGGAUUCCUCUAUUAUAAGAAUAACCCUAUAUAAGAAUGAGUUCAUCAAUUGUUAGAUUUAAAAUUAAAAAAUAACCCCUUACAAAUAUAUUAAUAAGUACAAUUAUUCCAAAUAAUACUGAAUCAAUCUAAUUUUAAGUUAGAAAGUUUCAUACACUAAUUUUGCAAAAUCAAAGUGUUCAAUAAAAUUUAUAAUUCUUUAAUAAAUGUAAUUUUAUAAAUUAAAAUAUUUAGUGGUUUAAAAAAAUUUGAAAAUACUAUAAAAUUUGCAAAUCAAAAUAAAGUCUUUUUUGCAAAAAAAUACAGCAAUUUAAGCAGAAUGAAUCUGGUAUAAUAGAUAGCCAACGGGCCUUAUUUUAUUGCUUGAAUCAAAUAAUUUAAUUAAGGUGAUGAUGAAAUAGUGCACCAUACCAAAUUAUGGCUAUUUUAAAUUUUAGAUAAUUGAGCUGGUUCAAGAAUAUGUUCUACUUUUCAAUUAUUUUAGUAGGCACAGCCGUCCAGUUGACCUAUUUGACAUAUGAAUAAUACUAUCUGUGUCUAGAUCAAGUGCAUUUGGGACACUAGUCAUAACAUUAGGCAUAUCCAAAAGAAGAGAGCCAAAAACUUGUCACGUGAAGAAAAUCUUUUUUCCAGAAACAAAUAUCCUUUUUCAUGUGAUGUUCAACUAGAUUAAAUGGAGAAAUGAAAAAAGAAAAAGAUGAGCUUUGAAUCAUUGAUGAGAUAAAGCAUAUUCCACAAAGCAGUUUUCAACCUCAAUGCCAAACAGACUUAAAACCUAAAUCCUAAAAGUCCAAAUGCAUAAAUUUAUCUCUGAAGUUUAUGCGUUUAUGCGAUUUGUCUUGUGGCACUCUCAAAUUUGCUAAGACCUAUCAUGUUCUUACAAUUUCACAUUUCAGUAAUAACUAUGCCCUCACCAAAAUAAAAUGUAAAAGUACAGAGUCACGAUAAAACUCUUACAAAGUUAUUUCAUUUAGACGUGGGGUAUAGUUAUUACUGAAAUAUGAAAGUGUAGAGUCAUGAUAAGUUCUGGAAACUUAAACGUGUCAUAAGGCAAAUCGCAUAAACUUCUAAGGAUAAAUUUGUGCAUGAGGUCAGAUCCUAAAUGUAGACUUGUAAAUAGAAAUUAUCAAAGCACGGCAACAUCAACCUCAAUAGUAUUUGAAUGAUUUGAAAUGCCUUACGGGAAGGAUUGGUUUACCUGAGCCUUUCUGCAAUCCUUUUGCAAACCGUAGGAUAGUGUCAAAUCAGAGGCAUUGCAAGUUCAGUAACUUUUCAGCUCAACUUAAGAGAGUAAUCUGUCAGCAUGCGUCAAAGAAAUAUUAGGAAACACCAUCUUUAUAUUUUAUAACCAAAGUAGCUUUGUUUGCUUCAAUAUUUAACAUCAAAGAAAUAUUAGGAGACACCAUUUUUAUAUUUAACUACAACAGUUUCAUUCAUUGUUUUGCUCUACAAUCAUAAGAUUAGCCAAAAGUUUUAAUCUUCACACAUUAAAGGGCGAAAAUUCUAUCAACUCCUGAGUUGGAGAAGUCCGAGUGCUACCAUGAGGUGGAUCCACUCCUUCGUGCAUGCUUGUCCUUCUUCCUCAUUGAUCGAAUCCUUUUGGAUUUCACCACAUAGUAAGUCAUCGUGCCAAGAACACCAGCCAUUAUAACUCCCCCUACAACUGUCACCAAAACAGCAGCCCACUCAUGUUUCCGGCCAACCACUAUAUAAGAUGAGGCUAUAAAUGGAACCGACGUGCACACAGAAGCCAACCACAUUAAUUGGUUGAUCACCACCACUACGCGUCUCUCUGCUUUUGUCUCACCUCUAUCAAGUGUUAUUUGAACCACCACAACAGCCCAUGAAGUAAAGAGAGCAAUAGCAUUAAAGAUGAAGAAAAUUUUAAAAGAAGCAUGGCACCCCACCACUGCCAUCCCACUAUUUUUAUCCCCACCAGGUACAGUGAAGAUAGCUGCAAAAGCAAC